AUGAAGAGUUUGAUCCUGGCUCAGGAUGAACGCUAGCGACAGGCUUAACACAUGCAAGUCGAGGGGCAGCGGGGAGUGGCGACACUCUGCCGGCGACCGGCGCACGGGUGCGUAACACGUGUGCAACCUGCCCGUCACCGGGGGAUAACCCGUGGAAACGCGGACUAAAACCCCAUGAGACGAGAAUGGCGCAUGCCAUGAACGUUAAAACCGAGGUGGUGACGGAUGGGCACGCGGGACAUUAGGUAGUUGGCGGGGUAACGGCCCCCCAAGCCGACGAUGUCUAGGGGUUCUGAGAGGAAGGUCCCCCACACUGGUACUGAGACACGGACCAGACUCCUACGGGAGGCAGCAGUGAGGAAUAUUGGUCAAUGGGCGGAAGCCUGAACCAGCCAAGUCGCGUGAGGGAUGACGGGUCCAUGGCCUGUAAACCUCUUUUGUGAAGGAAGAACCGCGGGGACGUGUCCCCGCCUGCCAGUACUUCACGAAUAAGCAUCGGCUAACUCCGUGCCAGCAGCCGCGGUAACACGGGGGAUGCGAGCGUUAUCCGGAUUCAUUGGGUUUAAAGGGAGCGUAGGCGGCCCGACAAGUCAGCGGUAAAAGACUGCAGCUAAACUGUAGCGCGCCGUUGAAACUGCCGGGCUAGAGUGCAGACGAGGUUGGCGGAACAGGUGAAGUAGCGGUGAAAUGCAUAGAUAUCACCUGGAACCCCGACAGCGAAGGCAGCUGACCAGGCUGUAACUGACGCUGAUGCUCGAGAGCGUGGGUAGCGAACAGGAUUAGAUACCCUGGUAGUCCACGCCGUAAACGAUGCUCACUGGCCCUGGGCGACAUACAGUCCGGGGUCGAGCGAAAGUAAAAGUGAGCCACCUGGGGAGUACGUCGGCAACGAUGAAACUCAAAGGAAUUGACGGGGGCCCGCACAAGCGGAGGAACAUGUGGUUUAAUUCGAUGAUACGCGAGGAACCUUACCCGGGUUUAAAUGCAGGUUGCAUUAGGUGGAAACACCUAUUUCCCACGGGACCACUUGCAAGGUGCUGCAUGGUUGUCGUCAGCUCGUGCCGUGAGGUGUCGGGUUAAGUCCCAUAACGAGCGCAACCCCUAUCGAUAGUUGCCAUCGGUUAACGCCGGGCCCUCUAUCGAGACUGCCACCGUAAGGUGCGAGGAAGGCGGGGAUGACGUCAAAUCAGCACGGCCCUUACACCCGGGGCGACACACGUGUUACAAUGGCCGGUACAGAGGGUCGCGAGCCGGUAACGGCGAGCCAAUCUCAAAAACCGGUCUUAGUUCGGAUCGGGGUCUGCAACUCGACCCCGUGAAGUUGGAUUCGCUAGUAAUCGCGCAUCAGCCAUGGCGCGGUGAAUACGUUCCCGGGCCUUGUACACACCGCCCGUCAAGCCAUGGAAGCCGGGAGUACCUGAAGCUCGUAACCGCGAGGGCCGAUCUAGGGUAAUACCGGUAACUGGGGCUAAGUCGUAACAAGGUAGCCGUACCGGAAGGUGCGGCUGGAACACCUCCUUUCUGGAG
rnacentral:rRNA from 1 species